UCGUUUUGGUUUCUUUUGUUCUUAUUUAUUCAUUUACGUGUUUAAAUAUGAGUAAAAGUAUUAAAAGUGGAGUUCGAGAGAUAUUGUUCUGCAUGAUAUCCAAAUUCCAAGAAAAAGAAGAAGAAUAAGAAACUGAAUUCUACCAAAAACAAGAUUAUUUACGUGUGGUGUUGAUUUUCUUAGGAAAUCAGGAGGAUGUAGGAGUCGAUGCAAUAGUGAGAACUAUUGGUAAGCUCGCUGAUUUAGAGCAGAAAGAUAGAAUAAAAUCCCAGAACCAGUACUUUAAAGAAAUCGCUUCCAACACUGGUAAAAUUUUCAAUACUUUUCAAGUAAAUUUGAAAAAAAAUGUGUGUGGUAAUAACUUUUCAUUGUUUUUUCCAAGUGUAAGUGUAAUAUCAAUACACAGAAUAAAAAAUGAAGGGGCAACAAAUCAAGGUGUUUGGAGUACACCUGGAAGAAAAUGACCUCAUAAACCAACAGAGUCUCAUAUGGACAAUUUUGAUUUAGAAGCUAUUCACAACAAAAUUAAUGAAUUUUACAUUGUUAGAAAACAAGUUCCAACAAUGAGAACACUUUUGCUGGAAUUAAGAGAAAGCAUAGGAUUUCCCGGAUGUCAGGAAACUCUUCGCUAAAUAUUAUUGCUAUGAAUUUAAUAUAAACAAAGAUGAAUGUUCUUUGUUAAUUGACCACAAUUACAUAUCUGGAGACAUGACUAUUUAAGAUCUAUAUUGUUGAAAUGUGCAGAAAAAAGCCAAUAAUUUAUUUAGAAACUUAUGUCCAUAAAAUCUACAAGCCUAAAAAAUCUUGUCAAGGUCCCUCUACAAGUGGUGUUAUUGAAAAUAUUUCAUCUGGAAAAAGGUACAUAAUUGUAGAAGCAGGUUUGGAGAAAGGUCCUGUGGGGAACUUGGAUAAAAAAUGGCUGAUUAUCACCAUGAUACGAAUUCUGCCAACAUCAAUAGGUGGUUAGAAGAAAAACUCCUACCCAAUUUAAAUGAGUCAAGUGUAAUUGUUAUGGACAGCAGCUGGCGCGUAUUUCGCGACGCGUAGCCUGCCAUUCGCGAACUAGUAGAAUUAAUUAAAUGUAUAUUGUUUUUAUUUUUAGAAAAAAUGUGGUAUAAAAAGUCCCUGAACAAUAUGGCAGGGGAGUAGUGUUAUAUAAAUUAAAUUAAUAAAUCUAAUGUUAUGGAAACAUUCUUGGGUUAGGUACAGAUAUGAAUGUAUUAAGGUAUGGAAAAUUAAAAUGCUUUCAAAACAGUGGUAAUAAAAGUAGUAUGUGGUUGUCAACCAUGGAAUAGGUAUUGUGUAAAAAAAAAAUCUUAUCGACAACGCCAGUUACCAUUCCGUUAUAGUAAAUAAAGCCCCUAUGAUACAGAAUCACAAACAUGAGAUAAGAGAAUGGCUUACUUUGAAUAAUAUUCAAUUUGAAGAGUACCAUACGAAAGCAGAACUGCUAUAUCUAGUAAAACGGUAUAAACCAGAGCAAAUAUUUGAAACCGAUAAAAUUUUAAAGCACAAUGGUCAUGAGGUAUUGAUACUACCUCCAUACCAUUGUGAUCUAAAUGCCAUUGAACUGGUAUGGAGUCUGGCAAAACACAGAGUAGCAAAUAAAAAUAUUAAAUUGACUACAGAGCAGUUAGAUCAAGUGAUACAGUGAACGUGAGAGUUAACAAAAUAAAUAUAAAGAAAGGGACAGGACUACAGAGCAACAUUUAGAAAGUUACAUAAUCAAUGUGAGAGACGGUGAUAACAGCAAUGACUGUGAUGAAUCUAUUGAUUUUUUGGAUUCUGAUUUUGAUUAUUCCAAAUAAAGUUGUGUUUUAUAAUAAA